rnacentral:rRNA from 1 species
UACGGAGGGAGCUAGCGUUGUUCGGAAUUACUGGGCGUAAAGCGCGCGUAGGCGGCUUUGUAAGUUAGAGGUGAAAGCCCGGAGCUCAACUCCGGAACUGCCUUUGAUACUGGAAAGCUUGAGUUCGGGAGAGGUGAGUGGAACUGCGAGUGUAGAGGUGAGAUUCGUAGAUAUUCGCAAGAACACCAGUGGCGAAGGCGGCUCACUGGCCCGAUACUGACGCUGAGGUGCGAAAGCGUGGGGAGCAAACAGG